UGCUGCAUGGCUGUCGUCAGCUCGUGUUGUGAAAUGUUGGUUAAGUCCCGCAACGAGCGCAACCCUUAUCCUUGUUGCCAGCGGUCCGGCCGGGAACUCAAAGGAGACUGCCAGUGAUAAACUGGAGGAAGGUGGGAUGACGUCAAGUCAUCAUGGCCCUUAGGACCAGGGCUACACACGUGCUACAAUGGCGCAUACAAAGAGAAGCGACCUCGCGAGAGCAAGCGGACCUCAUAAAGUGCGUCGUAGUCCGGAUUGGAGUCUGCAACUCGACUCCAUGAAGUCGGAAUCGCUAGUAAUCGUGGAUCAGAAUGCCACGGUGAAUACGUUCCCGGGCCUU
rnacentral:rRNA from 1 species